rnacentral:rRNA from 2 species
GACAGAGGGGGCAAGCGUUGCUCGGAAUUACUGGGCGUAAAGGGCGCGUAGGCGGGAUGGCAAGUCGGUCGUGAAAUCCCUCGGCUCAACCGAGGAACGUCGAUCGAUACUGCUGUUCUUGAGGAUUGCAGAGGAGACUGGAAUUCCCGGUGUAGCGGUGAAAUGUGUAGAGAUCGGGAGGAACACCGGUGGCGAAGGCGGGUCUCUGGGCAAUUCCUGACGCUGAGGCGCGAAAGCGUGGGGAGCAAACGGG